UUGACCUCGGAUCAGGUAGGGAUACCCGCUGAACUUAAGCAUAUCAAUAAGCGGAGGAAAAGAAACCAACAGGGAUUGCCUCAGUAACGGCGAGUGAAGCGGCAACAGCUCAAAUUUGAAAUCUGGCUCUUUCAGGGUCCGAGUUGUAAUUUGUAGAAGAUGCUUUGGGUGUAGCUCCGGUCUAAGUUCCUUGGAACAGGACGUCAUAGAGGGUGAGAAUCCCGUACGUGACUGGGUGCUUUCGCUCGUGUAAAGCUCUUUCGACGAGUCGAGUUGUUUGGGAAUGCAGCUCAAAAUGGGUGGUAAAUUUCAUCUAAAACUAAAUAUUGGCCAGAGACCGAUAGCGCACAAGUAGAGUGAUCGAAAGAUGAAAAGCACUUUGGAAAGAGAGUUAAACAGUACGUGAAAUUGUUGAAAGGGAAGCGCUUGCGACCAGACUUGCGCGCUGUUGAUCAUCCGAGGUUUUCCCCGGUGCACUCGGCAGCGUUCAGGCCAGCAUCGGUUUUGGUGGGCGGAUAAAGGCCUUGGGAAUGUAGCUUCUUUCGGGGAGUGUUAUAGCCCUCGGUGCAAUGCGCCCUACCGGGACCGAGGACCGCGCUCGGCUAGGAUGCUGGCGUA
rnacentral:rRNA from 1 species